rnacentral:rRNA from 1 species
UACGAAGGGGGCUAGCGUUGCUCGGAAUCACUGGGCGUAAAGCGCGCGUAGGCGGAUCGUUAAGUCGGGGGUGAAAUCUUUCGGCUUAACCGGAAAAGGGCCUUGGAUACUGGUUUGCUAGAGGGAGGUAGGGGUCUGUGGAACUUCUGGUGGAGCGGUGAAAUGCGUUGAUAUCAGAAGGAACGCCGGUGGCGAAAGCGACGGACUGGAUCUCUUCUGACGCUGAGGCGCGAAAGCCAGGGGAGCAAACGGG